UACGUAGGGGGCAAGCGUUGUCCGGAAUCAUUGGGCGUAAAGCGCGUGUAGGCGGCCAGGUAAGUCCGUUCUGAAAGCCCGGGGCUCAACCCCGGGAGGCGGAUGGAUACUGCUUGGCUCGAGUCCGGAAGAGGCGAGUGGAAUUCCCGGUGUAGCGGUGAAAUGCGCAGAUAUCGGGAGGAACACCAAUGGCGAAGGCAGCUCGCUGGAACGGUACUGACGCUGAGGCGCGAAAGCGUGGGGAGCGAACAGG
rnacentral:rRNA from 1 species